rnacentral:RNase_P_RNA from 1 species
GGGAGUAGGUGGACGGUUGACGGUGAAACCAAAAAAUGUUUUUUUGGUUUCGCUGAGGAAAGUCCUCUCUCACUCUGAAUCAGGAAACCGUGCAAACGGUUAAGGCGAGAGCCUUAGCAGAGGCACAGAAACGACACAGCCCUUGGAUAAUGCGAUGAUUCACAUCUUGGUGAUGAGGUCUCCGAGGGAUUUGAUGAAACGGCCAAUCUGCUCCUGGAGCAAGCCCAAAC